rnacentral:rRNA from 1 species
GGACCCGCACAAGUAGUGGAGCAUGUGGUUUAAUUCGAAGAUACGCGCAGAACCUUACCAACACUUGACAUGUUCGUCGCGACUUUAAGAGAUUAAAGUUUUCGGUUCGGCCGGACGAAACACAGGUGCUGCAUGGCUGUCGUCAGCUCGUGUCGUGAGAUGUUGGGUUAAGUCCCGCAACGAGCGCAACCCUCACUUUUAGUUGCCAUCAUUAAGUUGGGCACUCUGAAAGAACUGCCAGUGAUAAGCUGGAGGAAGGUGGGGAUGACGUCAAGUCCUCAUGGCCCUUACGUGUUGGGCUACACACGUGCUACAAUGGUCGGUACAAUAGGAAGCAAGACCGCGAGGUGGAGCAAAUCCUCAAAACCGGGCCCAGUUCGGAUUGGAGUCUGCAACUCGACUCCAUG